AACGAACGCUGGCGGCAGGCCUAACACAUGCAAGUCGAACGCCCUAGCAAUAGGGAGUGGCAGACGGGUGAGUAACACGUGGGAACCUUCCCUAUAGUACGGAAUAGCCCAGGGAAACUCGGAGUAAUACCGUAUACGCCCGAGAGGGGCAAGAUUUAUCGCUAUAGGAUGGGCCCGCGUCGGAUUAGCUAGUUGGUGAGGUAACGGCUCACCAAGGCAACGAUCCGUCGCUGGUUUGAGAGAAUGACCAGCCACACUGGGACUGAGACACGGCCCAGACUCCUACGGGAGGCAGCAGUGGGGAAUCUUGGACAAUGGGCGCAAGCCUGAUCCAGCCAUGCCGCGUGAGUGAUGAAGGCCCUAGGGUUGUAAAGCUCUUUUGUCGGGGACGAUAAUGACGGUACCCGAAGAAUAAGCUCCGGCUAACUUCGUGCCAGCCGCCGCAGUAA
rnacentral:rRNA from 1 species